rnacentral:ncRNA from 1 species
GAAAUUGCGAUGAAAAGGACAAGUAAAAUAGAAACAAUUUCCAGAGAAGAUGAGUCACCGGCUGAAAGCUCGUCUAAAUAUGUCUAUUUGAAAACUACCUUGGAGCAGAAUUUAGUAGCAUAUGUGAAAGUAUUCGGUUGACUACCUUAUAGUCGUCUUAAGAGGGUGUAUUAUAUACAUCAACUUGGGUGGAACCGCGAAUUUAUACUCGUCCCAAAU